GCUAUGACGGUGCUGGCGGCGGUGGUGAUAGGGAGUGUUGGAGGUGUAGCCCGAAGUUGUGGGGGUAAAGUGCUAGUAGGCGGUUGGUCGCGUCUGCCGUGAAAGUCCGGGGCUUAACUCCGGAUCUGCGGUGGGUACGGGCAGACUAGAGUGCAGUAGGGGAGACUGGAAUUCCUGGUGUAGCGGUGGAAUGCGCAGAUAUCAGGAGGAACACCGAUGGCGAAGGCAGGUCUCUGGGCUGUAACUGACGCUGAGGAGCGAAAGCAUGGGGAGCGAACAGGAUUAGAUACCCCAGUAGUC
rnacentral:rRNA from 1 species